AUAGCGGAUACCGAAAAGCUAAGAUAGAGUAGGUA
rnacentral:ncRNA from 1 species